UCGACGAGCUCCAUCUUUUGGGCUACGCCUUGCACUCCGGCGACAACCACACACGGUGUAGCAACCGCCGGAAGUUACUGCUGUGGCGGCGCCGCCUCCUCCGGCCACCAUGGCUCGAGAUUCUUGGGGGGUUUUGCUUGUCUCAGUCCCAGCAACAUACCCACAAAAGGAAUCGAGCCAAAUCGAAGUGUGACUGACGAAACGAGUGAGGAAAUUACUUUCAGGGUCGUGGAAGUUGCACGCAGGAAAGAAGUGGAUAACUCCGCAGGUGUGGAUUAGCGGGAAUUGACGGACCGCUCAGAGGACUUGAAGUUAUUUAUCUCCAGCUUGUGUGAGGAUUUUGUGUGACUAUCUUGUGAGUUUGUUGUGAGGAUUACGCAAUUCCAUUUGUUAUAAUAUUGAAUUAUAAUUUGGGUUGUAAUAAUCGGUUUAACUGAGUUGUAUUUUGAACU